AUUGAACGCUGGCGGCAGGCCUAACACAUGCAAGUCGAACGAGUGGCGGACGGGUGAGUAAUGUCUGGGAAACUGCCUGAUGGAGGGGGAUAACUACUGGAAACGGUAGCUAAUACCGCAUACCAUCGGAUGUGCCCAGAUGGGAUUAGCUAGUAGGGGGGGUAAAGGUUCACCUAGGCGACGAUCCCUAGCUGGUCUGAGAGGAUGACCAGCCCCCCUUUGACUGAGACCCGGUCCAGACUCCUACGGGAGGCAGCAGGUGGGAAUAUUGCACAAUUGGCGCAAGCCUGAUGCAGCCAUGCCGCUUGUAUGAAGAAGGCCUUCGGUUUGUAAAGUACUUUCAGCGGGGAGGCGUUACCCGCAGAAGAAUCACCGGCUAACUCCGUGCCAGCCGCCGCGGUAAUAC
rnacentral:rRNA from 1 species